UGGGCUGCGAAAUUAUACCAGUGGCUUGUGGUUGCAUACCAGCAACUUGAUAACCAUAGUUUACGGGCUGCUGUGGCAUAGCCCCAGUCUUCUGAACUUGUACACCAGUCAUUUGUGGCAUAACUCCAGUCAUUUGUGGCACAACUCCAGUCAUCUGUGGCAUAACUCCAGUCACCUGAGGCAUAACUCCAGUCAUGUGGGGUUGUAAGCCAGUGGGCUGUACCAUUAAAGGUUGAUAACCAGUGGCCUGAACAGGAAUUGGUUGCAUAUAUCCUGUAGGUUGGAUAGGAAGUGCGCUAGGAGGAGGUUGAAAUCCAGUUGGCUGUACAUACAAAGGAGAUUGAAAUGGAUCGGCAGCCAUGGGUUGAGGAGCAGUGAAAUAUGCAUUUUGAA